UCGACGGGAUUGAGAGCUUGCUCUCAUGAGAGUGGCGCACGGGUGAGUAACGCGUAUGCAACCUACCUUUAACUGAGGGAUAGCCCAUAGAAAUGUGGAUUAAUACCUCAUAGUUCUUUUGAACCGCAUGGUUUAAAAGAUAAAGCUCCGGCGGUUAAAGAUGGGCAUGCGUGACAUUAGCUAGUUGGUAAGGUAACGGCUUACCAAGGCUACGAUGUCUAGGGGUUCUGAGAGGAUGAUCCCCCACACUGGUACUGAGACACGGACCAGACUCCUACGGGAGGCAGCAGUGAGGAAUAUUGGUCAAUGGGCGCAAGCCUGAACCAGCCAUCCCGCGUGCAGGAUGAAGGCCCUAUGGGUCGUAAACUGCUUUUAUACGCCAAGAAAAAACAGGACGUGUCCUGGACUGACGGUAGUGUAUGAAUAAGCAUCGGCUAACUCCGUGCCAGCAGCCGCGGUAAUACGGAGGAUGCAAGCGUUAUCCGGAUUCAUUGGGUUUAAAGGGUGCGUAGGCGGCUUUUUAAGUCAGUGGUGAAAUCCUGCCGCUUAACGGUAGAAUUGCCAUUGAUACUGAAGAGCUUGAGUACAGUUGAGGUAAGCGGAAUGUGUAGUGUAGCGGUGAAAUGCUUAGAUAUUACACAGAACACCAAUUGCGAAGGCAGCUUACUAAACUGAUACUGACGCUGAUGCACGAAAGCGUGGGGAGCGAACAGGAUUAGAUACCCUGGUAGUCCACGCCGUAAACGAUGUUCACUCGCUGUUUGCGAUACACAGCAAGCGGCCAAGCGAAAGCAUUAAGUGAACCACCUGGGGAGUACGAUCGCAAGGUUGAAACUCAAAGGAAUUGACGGGGGCC
rnacentral:rRNA from 1 species